GGCGGCCCCGCUCGGCCGCGGCACGGAGUGCCGGCUCCGGGCCGGCAGCAAGACCAGGGUGAUCACGGUCCGAGUCCGCGGACCGCCC
rnacentral:tRNA from 1 species